GACACUCGCAGGCACGGCACUAGUAGGGACGAGAUGCUGGGAACGACUGCAGUGUUGGGAAAGCCCAGGAUCUGACUGGUAACCAGCAGGCACCUUACGCCAACGAGAACGACAACCGCCUCAAGUCGAGAUGCUUGUAAGACCAUUUUUUUCGGUCCGAUGGAGGUUGGACACUCUGCAACCCGUGUAGUUUAACCAAUGGGGUCCUGGUGACUGCAGUGCCUUCUCCGAAGACCGUCACGGAUGCAGUGCCUCCAUGGUCUCAGCCCGACGCUUCCUUAACGCGUUUGAUCCCUUGGUGUUUCACCAAAGGUCUACCCCGCAGUUAAAACCUGGAAAGUCCCGCACUGCCUCAACUACGCUUGGAUCCUUCCGGACCUGCUUCCAGUUGCUACAGUACGUGUUCCUGCACGUAGCAGUCACUGUUAACGUCAGUAAAAUCUGGUGCUCGCGUUCUAGUGCCUUUCGAAAAAACUCAGCAUAAAGAUGGGGAAAAUACACGGACAGCGUAACAGGGCUUCUAGACGACCCCACUCUCCCGGCAGGGCGGACUGUCUCCGAUCUCGGUCACCUCGUCAACGUUCCGUAGCCACCUAGACACGAGGGAUACCCGGUGUCUUGGACCUCCCGCUCAAAGUGGUCUGCCAGGUGGAAGGUCUGCCAAGGAACCAGGUCGACGCAGCAUCGGUCACGUUACCGUUUCGGGGCCUGACUAUGGCACAGACACCCCGCUGCAGCCCCUCACGCCGGAUGAAGAGCGCCUUCUCUGCCCCACGCGAACACUCGCGAGCUGGCACGGCACUAGUAGGCGCGAGGUACUGAGUACGACUGCAGUGUUGGGAAAAGUAUGAAAUAAACCUUGUUUGAUUGA